rnacentral:rRNA from 1 species
UACAGAGGGGGCAAGCGUUGUCCGGAAUUACUGGGCGUAAAGGGCGCGUAGGCGGCCUGCUAAGUCGAACGUGAAAUCCCUCGGCUUAACCGGGGAACUGCGUCUGAUACUGGAUGGCUUGAAUCCGGGAGAGGGAUGCGGAAUUCCAGGUGUAGCGGUGAAAUGCGUAGAUAUCUGGAGGAACACCGGUGGCGAAGGCGGCAUCCUGGACCGGCAUUGACGCUGAGGAGCGAAAGCCAGGGGAGCAAACGGG